CAAAGGGUCCAACGAUAUUUAUUCAAACUGAUAAGCCGGUUUACAAGCCUGGACAAACAGUUCGAAUGAGAAUUGUUGCCCUCGAUUUCGAAAUGAAACCUUACAAAGGAAACGUAACAAUAGAGAUAUCGGAUGGUCAUGGUACUAAAGUUCAACAAUGGAUAGACAAAUCGCCGCUCACAGGAAUUGUUCCUUUAUCGUUUCCAUUGUCCGACGAGCCAGUUGCUGGAGUUUGGAACGUUUCGGUAUUCGCAC